UACGAAGGGGGCGAGCGUUGUUCGGAAUCACUGGGCGUAAAGGGCGCGUAGGCGGCCCUCUUAGUCGCGUGUGAAAGCCCCGGGCUCAACCUGGGAACGGCGCGCGAAACGGGAGGGCUGGAGUUCGGGAGAGGAGAGUGGAAUUCCCAGUGUAGAGGUGAAAUUCGUAGAUAUUGGGAAGAACACCGGUGGCGAAGGCGGGUCUCUGGACAGUUCCUGACGCUGAGGCACGAAGGCCAGGGGAGCAAACGGG
rnacentral:rRNA from 1 species